rnacentral:rRNA from 1 species
GCGAUCAUACCAGCACUAAUGCACGGAUCCCAUCAGAACUCCGAAGUUAAGCGUGCUUGGGCGAGAGUAGUACUAAGAUGGGUGACCUCUUGGGAAGUCCUCGUGUUGCACCCC